UUGCAGCCAAUUAAGCUGACUGUGCUCUUUUCCCCAUGGGGGCCCAGUGUGCAGUGGCUGCAGACAGGAGCCUCCUGGGUAGUGUAUGCAACCUGUUACCUGUAUAUGUUGCCCUAAGGGACCUUGGAAACAACU
ensembl:snoRNA SNORA70 Small nucleolar RNA SNORA70